GGCCGAGUGGUGGAAUGGCAGACACAAGGGAUUUAAAAUCCCUCGGGGAGUAAUCCCUGUGCGGGUUCGAGUCCCGCCUCGGCCA
rnacentral:tRNA from 1 species